GUGUGUGUAUAAGCUCCAAUGGAGCAAGCUGAGAAGAUUAGAGUUUGUUUUAGGUGAUUUUAGAGAGAGAGUUUAUAAGAGUGUUUAUGUGUUUACUUAAAUCAGAAACAAGAGACUUUGAGAGAUUAAGAGUAUAAGAAAGGGAGAGAUUAGAGAGAAUCUGAUUCAAGAACACAUAUUAUGAAGUGGAGAGGGGAAAUCCCCCAAACUCCCUUAAGGGUUUACAAAAUCGCCACACACCUCCUUUUAUAAGGUUUACAACUUUGUAGUCUCAUAAACCUAAAUCUAAUGGAUAGAAAUGACUGAAUAUAAAUGGAUGGCUAGGAUGAAGAGUUGAGAUUGCAAUCUGUGUGAAAUGUCUUGAUUGGAUGAGAGCUAUGUGAUAUCUGAUUGGUUGAUUCAAACUGGUCAAAGGGAAGGCUGUUCUCCCAUUGGCUCCUUAUAGGCUCCCAUGUAUCAAGCCUUCAUUCAGACCAUGUUCAUGGUCGUGGCUCCCUUUGGCUUUACAGCCAAAGCCAGCCUGUCCAUCCUCCAAAGUAACCAAUCAGCUCCAUCUUUGCUCUCAUUGGCCGCUUGCCUCCACAAAGGAUCUUCUUGAUUCCCUUUUGAUGCUUCACGACCAGACUUCUUUUUAUCAGCCCUAAGUAUGCACAAAGUCUCCCGGACAUGUUCUGAUCACGCCCUAAGCUUGCACAUCUUGUCCCGGACUUUGCACCACCUCAAAACAUCUCAAAUGGCCAAGUUGUGUUUCCUCGGGUUGUCUCGGUCCGUACGGAUCCGUAC
rnacentral:lncRNA from 1 species